rnacentral:rRNA from 1 species
UGGGUAACGUGCCCCGAUGACUGGGACAACCCGGGGAAACCCGGGCUAAUACCGGAUGUGCUCCCUCACCUCGGUGAGACGAGUAAAGGAAGCUUCGGCCUCCGCAUUGGGAUCGGCCCGCGGCCCAUUAGCUUGUUGGUGAGGUAACGGCUCACCAAGGCCGCGAUGGGUAGCUGGUCUGAGAGGACGAUCAGCCACACUGGGACUGAGACACGGCCAGACUCCGUACGGGGAGCAG